UGUGUCUUGUACCCUUUGUUGACUUUCCUCAUCUCACGCUCGAGCUCAACACAGGUUAGAGGAUUGUUAGGUUUUUCCCUGCCGCCGCCGCCGCCGUAUCUAUCUGCCCAUCUCCGGCGAUUGGAGUCUUGAUCUCUUCUGGCUGGAGGAUUGGCUCCUCUCGCCCUGAAGCCCUCCUUCCUUGAGCAGCCCCUCUUGCCUCUUCACCAUAGGCCGAGGCCGAAGCGGGGGCACACCGGCGCCGCCCCGAGAUACUCUAUUGGCAGUGCGAAUCGACGCUGCCACCCAAGAUCUUCAACUACCCUUCCGCAUCCCUGCACCAACGACCAUGCGGCAGCAGCAGAUCCAUGGCGGGACGAUCUUGGCGGUUGGGAAGAGGACACACUUGGACCAAGGACUACACAUUGUGACCGGCACUGCUGGACUUUCUCUUGCUUACCGGAAAAUGGAGUGUCCAAUGGACACUCUGCUAUGGAGGAGGAAGAGGAAUGGAUGAUGAGAAAUUUCAUCACUACACAUUAUAUGUAAUAAACAUGCUCAUUAUUAGAUUUUUAUUGCAUCAUUAUUAAAUUUUCAUUAGCGGGAGAGACAAUUGCAUACUGCUCAGCCUAUUUGUUAGAGAGGAUUGUAGUGUCUGGCUUGGACAAGCGAAAAUGUACAUCUGCCCAGCUGUGGUAUCUCAUGUUUGACUUCCCUGAAAUCUGAAAUGUCCGGAACUGCUCAAAUUUAUAGGUCGGCAUCUUAAAUUUUCUUUCUUAGACAGAUGCUUCUUUAUUACGAGUUGAUUUUGUGGUGUUGACAGAGUUUGCUGAAUAAUUAGAUUCUUAGAUGCAGUUCUUAAAUAUGGAUGAGAUACCGGAAAGGAGACUUGUGGUUCCACUUUCUUUUAUAUCCUCUUCCUCGACCUGAUUUACUUUUCUGAUAAUGCAACAAGCUGGACAAUAAUUAGAGGGCAGCAGAUGAGACUGGGUAUUGUCGUGGGAUGUGUCAGCACAUGCGUGUCUCUCCCAUUAUGACGACCUGGCUGCCUAUCUUCCCAGAAUGUAGGCCUUGAUCAAGCGGAAUGACUCCCCUCAGUUUGUUCAUUGCAGUACCAUCACUGAGCAUGACUUUUGUAAUUGAAAGAUUAAACAUUCCAACGAUAUUCUGUAGAUGAUAUUAACGGACGAAAGGAAGACCUGCUUCACAUUGUUGUUGUAGCAGAUUUAGUAUUUGAACUGAUUAUGUCAUUUUGAUUCAACAAUUUCACUAAGUUUACUUAUUCUAUAUUGCUUAGUAUUAUCUGAUCGUCCUGAUUGCAUAAGUAAUGAUCACACAUGUUCAGAUCUGAAAUUUAUACAAGGUGUUUAUGUUUAGUAUUUUAUUUUAUUUGUUCACCUGUUGGAA